rnacentral:rRNA from 1 species
UACGUAGGUGGCAAGCGUUGUCCGGAAUUAUUGGGCGUAAAGGGCGCGCAGGUGGUUUCUUAAGUCUGUCUUAAAAGUGCGGGGCUUAACCCCGUGAGGGGACGGAAACUGGGAGACUAGAGUAUCGGAGAGGAAAGCGGAAUUCCUAGUGUAGCGGUGAAAUGCGUAGAUAUUAGGAGGAACACCAGUGGCGAAAGCGGCUUUCUGGACGACAACUGACACUGAGGCGCGAAAGCCAGGGGAGCAAACGGG